AUUGAACGCUGGCGGCAGGCCUAACACAUGCAAGUCGGGCGAGCGGAGGACGGGUGAGUAAUGUAUGGGGAUCUGCCUGAUGGCGGGGGAUAAAUACUGGAAACGGUAGCUAAUACCGCAUACCAUCAGAUGAACCCAUAUGGGAUUAGCUAGUAGGUGUGGUAACGGCUUACCUAGGCGACGAUCCCUAGCUGGUCUGAGAGGAUGAUCAGCCACACUGGGACUGAAACACGGCCCAGACUCCUACGGUAGGCAGCCGUGGGGAAUAUUGCACAAUUGGCGCAAGCCUGAUGCAGCCAUGCCGCGUGUAUGAAGAAGGCCUUCGGGUUGUAAAGUACUUUCAGUCGGGUGGCGUUACCGACAGAAGAAGCGCCGGCUAACUACGUGCCAGCAGCCGCGGUAAUUC
rnacentral:rRNA from 1 species